rnacentral:tRNA from 1 species
GGGGGUGUGGCUCAGCGGUAGAGCACUCGCCUAGCAUGUGCGAGGUCCUGGGUUCGAUCCUCAGCACCACAU